rnacentral:rRNA from 1 species
UACGUAGGGGGCUAGCGUUGUCCGGAAUCAUUGGGCGUAAAGCGCGUGUAGGCGGUCCGGUAAGUCCGCUGUGAAAGUCGAGGGCUCAACCCUCGAAUGCCGGUGGAUACUGUCGGGCUUGAGUACGGGAGAGGCGAGUGGAAUUCCUGGUGUAGCGGUGGAAUGCGCAGAUAUCAGGAGGAACACCGAUGGCGAAGGCAGCUCGCUGGGACGGUACUGACGCUGAGGCGCGAAAGCGUGGGGAGCGAACAGG